rnacentral:rRNA from 1 species
CCUACGGGGUGCAGCAGUAGGGAAUAUUGCUCAAUGGGGGAAACCCUGAAGCAGCAACGCCGCGUGGAGGAUGAAGGUUUUCGGAUUGUAAACUCCUUUUGUUAGAGAAGAUAAUGACGGUAUCUAACGAAUAAGCACCGGCUAACUACGUGCCAGCAGCCGCGGUAAUACGGAGGGUGCAAGCGUUACUCGGAAUCACUGGGCGUAAAGAGCGCGUAGGCGGGAUAGCAAGUCAGAUGUGAAAUCCUAUGGCUUAACCAUAGAACUGCAUUUGAAACUGUUAUUCUAGAGUAUGGGAGAGGUAGGUGGAAUUCUUGGUGUAGGGGUAAAAUGCGUAGAGAUUAAGAGGAAUACUCAUUGCGAAGGCGACCUGCUAGAACAUAACUGACGCUGAUGCGCGAAAGCGUGGGGAGCAAACAGGAUUAGAUACCCGGGUAGUC